rnacentral:rRNA from 1 species
CACCUGUUUAUCAAAAACAUGUCUUAAAAAAAUUUAUUUUAAGUUUAACCUGCUCAAUGAAUUAUUUUAAAUAGCCGCAGUAAAUUAACUGUGCUAAGGUAGCAUAAUAAUUAGUCUUUUAAUUAAGGUCUUGAAUGAAUGGUUGGAUGAAAAAAAAACUUUAUUAAUUUUUUUUGUAUUGAAUUUUAUUUUUAAUUUAAAAAGAUUAAAUUUUUGAAGGGGACGAUAAGACCCUAUAGAUCUUAAAAAUAUUAUAUUUAUAUAUAUUUUUGUUGUUUAUAUUUAUAAAAAUUAUAUUAUUUUUUUGUUGGGGUGACAAAUAAAAAUUUAAACUUUAUUUUUUUUUUACAUUUGUUUAUGAAAUUUUUGAUCCUUUUUUGGAUAAAAAGAAAAAGAUACCUUAGGGAUAACAGCGUUAUAUUUCUGGAGAGUUCUAAUCAAUAGAAUUGUUUGCGACCUCGAUGUUGGAUUAACUUAAAUUUGUGGGGUAGAUUUUACAGUUUUAGGUCUGUUCGAC